rnacentral:tRNA from 1 species
UACAUUUUAGUAUAUGAUGUACUCAAAUUUUUGAUAUUUAAAGAGGUAGUUUGAAUCUGCCAAAUGUAA